rnacentral:misc_RNA from 1 species
CAACAAUCUGUUAUUGCUACAUUUCUAAGGUGCAACACAAGCCUUAAUUUCAGAUCUUUCUACUUUUUUUUUUUUGGGGGUUUUUGUUGAAUUAUUUAUCAUGUCACUGUAAUUUUGUUCCUGCGCUUGAAUUCGCAAGAUCUAGAGAGGGAAAAUGGCAACAAUCGAUGAACCUUUGUACCCAAUUGCUGUUCUUAUUGAUGAGCUCAAAAACGAGGACAUUCAGCUCCGUUUGAACUCAAUUCGUAGGCUUUCUACAAUUGCGCGUGCACUUGGGGAGGAGAGGACCCGGAAGGAAUUGAUUCCUUUCUUAAGUGAGAA